CUCUGGCAACACCAGGCUCCCUUCUGACAAAGGGAAGGUGUGGAAAGGCUCUUUAGUAAGUCCUGGCGGCCACACAUUCUGUAUCCUUCCUCUCCAAUUAACCUCAUGAGACAGAUGUUCACGCUGCUGUUUAUACGGAAGGUAGCUUAAGGUCAGUAGAUGAAAGAAACUUGCCUGAAAUCUCAAAUUUAACAGAGCAGGUAGCAACUGUCAUUUUAAAAAAAAAAUUCUGUUUGUGGGACUGGUGAAAUGAUUCAGCAAAUAAAAUGUUUGCCCUAAAAACCCGAGAACUCAAGUUCAAACACUGUAGCUCACAAAAAGGUGAAGAGAGCUGGCUCCACUUGCCUCUGGCUUCCUGGUGCAUACCAUGGUACAUAUAGGCAAACACACAACCACAGACACACAAAAAUGAGCAAUUUAAAAAAAUCCUGUUUGUGAGCCUCAAGUGGUAGCACACCUGUAAUCUCCACUCAGGCUUUUUAUGACAGAAAGAGUAUAAAUUUGAGGACAGCCUGGACCACAGAGGGAGACCCUGUCUCAAAAAGCAAACAAACCAACCAAAAAAAAAAAAAAAAAAAAAAAGACUGUUGAUUUUCUUUUGGGAGCCUCGUGAUCUUGAACUAGCGGCCUCCUGCCUUCAAUGCUGGGACCACAGGCAGGAACGACCAGGUCCCGUUUCUAUGCUGCUGGAGACUGAACCCAGGGCCUUCGGCAUGAGAAGCAGACACUCUACCAACUGAUCCACACCCCCACCUCUCCUGUCUGGUUGCCAAGGGUUCUGACUAGGUGCUAGGAACCUCUAUCUCUCCCCAGUGUCAUACUGCUCUUCGGAGAGAAGUCCAAAGACAUGAGCCCACAACAAGAGAAUUUAGGUGUGGUUCAGAGACUCAGGAAAAUCCUGGGGCCGACCCAGCGUUCACCUUUCACACAGAGGAAGAUAAAAAGAUGCUUCAGGAAACCUGGAGUCCCGGGUGCUAAGAGAACUCAGCACUGCUGUGCCGACUGAAGGAGACCCUGGGAGACCUUCUCCCGGGACAAGUGACGAGGAAGCUUAUUUCCAGGGUAGCCUCUGAUUUAGAGCUCCACUCAUAGCUCUAAAGGCUGUCAUGCCUAUGGAGCCAGGGGCUACGAGGAGCAGAUGAGAGCACUGAGGAGGCCACAGGCGGAGGGGCCUUCCCCUUUGGCAGCUUACCUAACAGACGGCGUGUGUCCUGUCAUGACAAAGGAGAGGCUUUAACUACCUGCCUCCUCCUUGCAGGAUGUUUAGACAUUCCUUAAAAAGGCACAGGGAAGGGCUCAGCUUGUUGGGCUGGGAGAAGAGGAGAAGGUUUGAGAAACAGAACUCAGUGUUGAAAUGCUUGCCUAGAACGGUCUAUCCCCGGCAGCAGAAAAAGAAAAAUAGAAAUCAAGCCAAAGAAAAAGCAGCGCACACACAGAGCCCCCAACAGCAGGUUACUUUGAUGUACCAGACAUUACUAACGCUUUAUCACUAAGAAUCCUUAGCCCAUGUUCCCGGAGCAAGGAGGUGUCAAAAGCUGAGGCCGCACAGCUGUCAAAUGGCAGGCCCGGUCUGGCCAGGCGGCACUGGAAACUGUGCAUGGUCCUUACACUACCACUGCCUGAAGGGAGUCCGGGGGGAUUACAACCUGAAUGGCUGAGGUUGCCAUUGCCUGGACUCCUACUACUCCAGUCUCCUGGACUGCCAAACUUCCUGUUCCAGAAAACCUGCCCAGAUUGGCGUUCUGUGGGGUCACGGGAUGUGGGGGACUUUCUGCAGGGGCACCACUAUGCAAGGCCUGGGAUUGCCUCAACCCCCUACAGCCGUACUGGAGGGACAACAGGGGUUCAAGGACAAGCUGGGGCUAUGAGAAUCUGUGUCACAGAAGUGCACACCUGAAAUCUCCAUGCCGCCCUGUGACGUCCCAGGAUUUCACUAAGGUAGGAAACUCCCCCGAGGGAUCAGAAGGCCUAGUUUACUUUUUGACAGGGCUGGCCACCAGCACAGAGCUUCCGAUUGCCUGCUGGGCUGCAAACAGGCACCAUAAACUAUGAAACUUUGUGGAGUGAGGCCCGCCUGGUGCCAAGGCAUGGUGCUAGCUGCCGGGUACAGACGGUCCCUAUCCCUGGCCAUAAACCCUUGUGCUCUGAGGACAGACCUUGAGUGUCAAGCCUCAAGUCCAUGUCUCACUCGGUUCCCCACAGGGCAGGGUUACUGACAGCAAGAUGACAGAGAAUUAAAACAAACAAAAACCUCAAAUCCAAUUCUUGUAAAUUGUACCGUGGGGCUGGAGAGAUGGUUCAGUGGUUAGAGUGCCCUUUAAUUGCAGCCCGGACAGGUGGGGACAGGAGCAGGUUGGCCAGGGAAAGGAGGCGUGUCAGUGAGCUCUGGGUUUGAGAGCAUGCCUCACUGAAGACAGGCAGACUGAGGAUGACUCCUCUCCCCGGCCUCAGGCCUCCCCAGGCAUUGGUGCCCCUCCACGAAUGGAAAAAGGGAAAAAGUUACACCCCACCAAGGGAAUGGCCAGCGCACAGUGCCAUUCAGGUAACCCAUACCCCCUGGAUCUGUCUGCCCCUCUGUGAUCUCUAUUGUGUUUGCUCUUUCCCAUGGACUAGUCCUGAGUUUGUUGGGGGUUAAACCUUUAAACUUUUUGUGGUGUGUCUCGAUGUCUCCCGGCGCGCCCCCCAAGAAGCCUGCUGUGAUUCACAGUGCGUCUCUUCUGUCACUCGGGUGAGGCUUCCCUGCAGCAACAGUGAGUCAGAAGGUGCCCUGAAAGAGCAGCGCUUGGGACCUUCGGGCCCGACUCUGGGGCCACCUAAUGCGGGGUGGGGGUUUCACGUUCUGCCACAGCAGAUUCAAGAAGGUAAGAACUACGGACAAAGGGCCUGUGUGUUGUCCUCACCUUCCAGAAUGUGGAUGAUGAAACGCACCUCUGCUACCCAACGACUCAGACAGUGUAUACUAUAAAUUUCAAACAUCAGCGACCUUGAGGGUAAAGCAGACGGUCACUUAAAAAAACGCUAAUGUUUAGAAGUCCGACAUGGGCUAGAGAGCCGCGCUUCCCUCUGCAAAAAUAGUAAGGCAGUACAGGCUGUGCUGUCCUGUGACUUUAUCCAACUUGGAGAAGGUUGGGCUUGAGAAAGGAAUCUCACUAAAGACCAGGCUGGCUCGGAGCUCUGGAUUCGUCUGCCUCUGCCUCCCAAGUAGAGGGACUAGACUACCGGUGCAUGCCACCAAUCCAUCAAAACCUAUGAGAUUUGAUGGCACGACCAGAGCAGGCACAUAGGCAGUAUGUGUCCACUAGCUAGAUGCGUCAGCCUUGCUGGUCUGAUGGAAGAACUUCCGGUAGCUGAUGGCCUGCUGGCACGAGGAUCUUCCGGCAUGAAGCUCAGGGUUGUUUCGGAGCUGAAGAGGAGGAGAGCAGCAUCGAGGAGGCCCAGGCACCUGGCUCAGUCUUCUUGGGUGCUCUUUUGGAGUCUGCUCGCGAGGAAUGGACAACUUAGUUGUUAUGGGCCUGGUCCUCACAAACUUCAGCCAGGGAUGAAACACCUUUGCUCCAAAAUUGUAGCAUCAGAAAUAAUAAUAAUAAUAAUAAAAACCAAAACGCUAUAGUCUACUGGA